rnacentral:rRNA from 1 species
AUUGAACGCUGGCGGCAUGCUUUACACAUGCAAGUCGAACGGUAACAGGCCGCAAGGUGCUGACGAGUGGCGAACGGGUGAGUAAUGCAUCGGAACGUGCCCAGUCGUGGGGGAUAACGCAGCGAAAGCUGUGCUAAUACCGCAUACGAUCUAUGGAUGAAAGCGGGGGACCGUAAGGCCUCGCGCGAUUGGAGCGGCCGAUGUCAGAUUAGGUAGUUGGUGGGGUAAAGGCUCACCAAGCCAACGAUCUGUAGCUGGUCUGAGAGGACGACCUGCCACACUGGGACUGAGACACGGCCCAGACUCCUACGGGAGGCAGCAGUGGGGAAUUUUGGACAAUGGGCGCAAGCCUGAUCCAGCAAUGCCGCGUGCAGGAAGAAGGCCUUCGGGUUGUAAACUGCUUUUGUACGGAACGAAAAGGUUUGGGUUAAUACCCUGGGCCGAUGACGGUACCGUAAGAAUAAGCACCGGCUAACUACGUGCCAGCCGCCGCGGUGA